rnacentral:rRNA from 1 species
AUUGAACGCUGGCGGCAGGCCUAACACAUGCAAGUCGAGCGGAUGAAGGGAGCUUGCUCCUGGAUUCAGCGGCGGACGGGUGAGUAAUGCCUAGGAAUCUGCCUGGUAGUGGGGGAUAACGUCCGGAAACGGGCGCUAAUACCGCAUACGUCCUGAGGGAGAAAGUGGGGGAUCUUCGGACCUCACGCUAUCAGAUGAGCCUAGGUCGGAUUAGCUAGUUGGUGGGGUAAAGGCCUACCAAGGCGACGAUCCGUAACUGGUCUGAGAGGAUGAUCAGUCACACUGGAACUGAGACACGGUCCGGACUCCUACGGGAGGCAGCAGUGGGGAAUAUUGGACAAUGGGCGAAAGUCUGAUCCAGCCAUGCCGCGUGUGUGAAGAAGGUCUUCGGAUUGUAAAGCACUUUAAGUUGGGAGGAAGGGCAGUAAGUUAAUACCUUGCUGUUUUGACGUUACCAACAGAAUAAGCACCGGCUAACUUCGUG